ensembl:snRNA U6 U6 spliceosomal RNA
GUGCUUGCUUCGGAGGUACAUAUACUAAAAUUGGAACAAUACAGAGAAGGUUCCCAUGGGCCCUGCUCAAGAAUGACACGCAAAUUCAUGAAGCAUUCCAUAUUUUU